ACGCGAAGAACCUUACCCAGGCUUGAACAGCGAGUGACCAUCGACGAAAGUUGACUUCCGCAAGGACACUCGUAGAGGUGCUGCAUGGCUGUCGUCAGCUCGUGUCGUGAGAUGUUGGGUUAAGUCCCGCAACGAGCGCAACCCUUGUCUGCUGUUGCCAUCAGGUAAUGCUGGGCACUCUGCAGAGACUGCCGGUGAUAAACCGGAGGAAGGUGGGGAUGACGUCAAGUCAGCAUGGCCUUUAUGUCUGGGGCUACACACGUGCUACAAUGGCCGAUACAAACCGUCGCAAAACCGCAAGGUGGAGCUAAUCGGAGAAAGUCGGUCUCAGUUCGGAUUGUAGGCUGCAACUCGCCUGCAUGAAGUUGGAAUCGCUAGUAAUCGCGGAUCAGCACGCCGCGGUGAAUACGUUCCCGGGCCUUGUA
rnacentral:rRNA from 1 species